rnacentral:rRNA from 1 species
UACAGAGGUUCCAAGCGUUGUUCGGAAUUACUGGGCGUAAAGGGCUCGUAGGUGGCCAACUAAGUCAGACGUGAAAUCCCUCGGCUUAACCGGGGAACUGCGUCUGAUACUGGAUGGCUUGAGUUUGGGAGAGGGAUGCGGAAUUCCAGGUGUAGCGGUGAAAUGCGUAGAUAUCUGGAGGAACACCGGUGGCGAAGGCGGCAUCCUGGACCAACGCUGACACUGAGGAGCGAAAGCUAGGGGAGCAAACGGG